rnacentral:rRNA from 1 species
AUUAAACGCUGGCGGCAUGCCUUACACAUGCAAGUCGAACGGCAGCACGGGGGCAACCCUGGUGGCGAGUGGCGGACGGGUGAGUAAAGCAUCGGAACGUAUCCUGGAGUGGGGGAUAACGUAGCGAAAGUUGCGCUAAUACCGCAUAUUCUGUGAGCAGGAAAGCAGGGGAUCGCAAGACCUUGCGCUCUGGGAGCGGCCGAUGUCGGAUUAGCUAGUUGGUGGGGUAAAGGCCCGUACCAAGGACGACGAUCCGUAGCGGGUCGUGAGAGGAGUGAUCCGCCACACUGGGACGUGAGACACGGCCC